AAUACCUUUGCCGGCGACCGGCGCACGGGUGAGUAACACGUAUCCAACCUGCCGAUAACUCGGGGAUAGCCUUUCGAAAGAAAGAUUAAUACCCGAUGGUAUAAUAAAGCCGCAUGGUUUAAUUAUUAAAGAAUUUCGGUUAUCGAUGGGGAUGCGUUCCAUUAGGCAGUUGGUGAGGUAACGGCUCACCAAACCUUCGAUGGAUAGGGGUUCUGAGAGGAAGGUCCCCCACAUUGGAACUGAGACACGGUCCAA
rnacentral:rRNA from 1 species